rnacentral:rRNA from 1 species
CUACGGGUCGCACCAGUCGAGAAGCUUCGGCAAUGGGCGAAAGCCUGACCGAGCGAUGCCGCGUGAGCGAAGAAGGCCCUAUGGGUUGUAAAGCUCUGUCAGAUUGGGAAGAAAGCUUCGGGGUUAAUACCCCCGAAGUGUGACGGUACCAUCAGAGGAAGCACCGGCUAACUCCGUGCCAGCAGCCGCGGUAAUACGGAGGGUGCAAGCGUUGUUCGGAUUCACUGGGUAUAAAGGGUGCGCAGGCGGCCUGGUAAGUCAGGGGUGAAAUAUGACGGCUCAACCGUCAAACUGCCUCUGAAACUGCCAGGCUUGAGUCCGGGAGAGGAAGGUGGAAUUCCUGGUGUAGCGGUGAAAUGCGUAAAUAUCAGGAGGAACACCGGUGGCGAAGGCGGCCUUCUGGCCCGGAACUGACGCUCAUGCACGAAAGCCAGGGGAGCGAACGGGAUUAGAUACCCGGGUAGUC